rnacentral:rRNA from 1 species
GGCUCAACCUUGAGCUUGCAUCGGGUACGGGCAGACUAGAGUGCGGUAGGGGUGACUGGAAUUCCUGGUGUAGCGGUGGAAUGCGCAGAUAUCAGGAGGAACACCGAUGGCGAAGGCAGGUCACUGGGCCGCAACUGACGCUGAGGAGCGAAAGCAUGGGGAGCGAACAGGAUUAGAUACCCUGGUAGUCCAUGCCCGUAAACGUUGGGCACUAGGUGUGGGGCUCAUUCCACGAGUUCCGUGCCGCAGCAAACGCAUUAAGUGCCCCGCCUGGGGAGUACGGCCGCAAGGCUAAAACUCAAAGGAAUUGACGGGGGCCCGCACAAGCGGCGGAGCAUGCGGAUUAAUUCGAUGCAACGCGAAGAACCUUACCAAGGCUUGACAUACACCGGAAACUUCCAGAGAUGGUUGCCCCGCAAGGUCGGUGUACAGGUGGUGCAUGGUUGUCGUCAGCUCGUGUCGUGAGAUGUUGGGUUAAGUCCCGCAACGAGCGCAACCCUCGUCUUAUGUUGCCAGCACGUCAUGGUGGGGACUCAUAAGAGACUGCCGGGGUCAACUCGGAGGAAGGUGGGGAUGACGUCAAAUCAUCAUGCCCCUUAUGUCUUGGGCUUCACGCAUGCUACAAUGGCCGGUACAAAGGGCUGCGAUACCGCGAGGUGGAGCGAAUCCCAAAAAGCCGGUCUCAGUUCGGAUUGGGGUCUGCAACUCGACCCCAUGAAGUCGGAGUCGCUAGUAAUCGCAGAUCAGCAACGCUGCGGUGAAUACGUUCCCGGGCCUUGUACACACCGCCCGUCAAGUCACGAAAGUCGGUAACACCCGAAGCCGGUGGCCCAACCCUUGUGGAGGGAGCUGUCGAAGGUGGGGCUGGAAUCGUCGACCUGCAGGCAUGCAAGCUGCACUGCCGCAUACCC